AAGCAUUAUGGUGAUCAAUCUUUGAAAGAAACAUCGAACUCCGUUAAAGCAGAAACUGUUCCCACCAAUCCUGAAGAUUAUGGUGAUCUCCCUUCUGUAUCACCUCAAGAGGAUAGUGACUGGACCAGGGCAGAAGAUCUGCUUAAGACUGGACAUGCUCUAGCACGAGAGGUUUUGUCGUAUCUUUUGGUUCU